CCUACGGGAGGCAGCAGUGGGGAAUAUUGCACAAUGGGGGAAACCCUGAUGCAGCGACGCCGCGUGAGUGAAGAAGUAUUUCGGUACGUAAAGCUCUAUCAGCAGGGAAGAAAAUGACGGUACCUGACUAAGAAGCCCCGGCUAACUACGUGCCAGCAGCCGCGGUAAUACGUAGGGGGAAAGCGUUAUCCGGAUUUACUGGGUGAAAAGGGAGCGUAGACGGAAGCGCGAGUCUGGAGUGAAAUCCCAUGGAUUAACCAUGGAACCGCUUUUGAAAAUGUGCAGCUGGAGUGCAGGAGAGGUAAGCGGAAUUCCUAGUGUAGCGGUGAAAUGCGUAGAUAUUAGGAGGAACACCAGUGGCGAAGGCGGCUUACUGGACUGUAACUGACGUUGAGGCUCGAAAGCGUGGGGAGCAAACAGGAUUAGAUACCCCGGUAGUC
rnacentral:rRNA from 1 species